AUGGGCAGGAACCGAAAUAGCAAGCUCUUUGCGGUUGAUCCUGAGCAUCUGGAAAAGAGGUGGACAAAGGCAAGAGGAAAGCAGACUCUUGAACUUACACGGACCUUGAGGGACGUGGAGCAAUGAAAGAACUGGGAAUCUGUUCAUAUCAUGAGGCCGAUCUUCUCCAGCUCAGAUUCACUCAGUGUUUCACCUGCACUUUCUGCCCUGGAGUGACCUGGCUCUCCAUUUGCCUCCAUGACCGCCACAGUGAUCCCACCUGCUUUGUGAUUCAGACUUGGGGCUAGGAAGAGAAGAAGAAGCGCCAUCGAUGCUAAUGUUCCAGAGGUGAAACGACUAAGGUCUGGUUGGCCCCCAACUCUGUGGGUUCUCAGAAAGCCCUAAAAACUUGGAAGUUGAAAGUUUGUGGAGGCUGUGAGAUGGACAUUAAUUCAAUGAUGACUGGAAUUGCUUACUGUAGCCAUGUAUGUUUGUGUGUGCUUACAGAGCCGCAUGUUUUAACAAAGCCGUGUGUUUUUAACACAGAAUAAAAAUGUGAUUUUUUAAAACAAAA